UAAUAGUUUAAAUGAAGAAUUUUGUUCUUGGUGCUCACAAUGGGGAAUGCAAUGUCACAACAUGACCAAAUAUUUCUGGAAUAGACUGGAGUGCUGGGUCAAACAGAAUAGUAACAGUGUCCAUGAUCGAAAUUUAUAUGUAUGGAAUCAUGAAGGAUCAGAGUGGGUACCUACCUUGGUUAUGCUCAGGCUAAACCGAGCUGUGGUUUGCGUUCAAUGGAGCCCAA